rnacentral:tRNA from 1 species
GGCGGCAUAGCCAAGGGGUAAGGCAGAGGACUGCAGGCCCUUUAUUCCCGGUUCGAAUCUGCUGCCG